rnacentral:rRNA from 1 species
UCGAGAGGCUUCUACAAUGGGGGAAACCCUGAUAGAGCGACGCCGCGUGGGUGAUGAAGGUCUUCGGAUCGUAAAGCCCUUUCAGCAGGGAAGAAUGAGGCUGGUGUAAACAGCGCCAGACUCGGGACGGUACCUGCAGAAGAAGCUCCGGCUAACUCCGUGCCAGCAGCCGCGGUAAGACGGAGGGAGCAAGCGUUGUUCGGAUUUACUGGGCGUAAAGGGCGUCUAGGCGGGCCAGCCAGUCAGGUGUGAAACCCCCCGGCUCAACCGGGGAUCUGCACUUGAUACUGCUGGUCUUGAGUACGAAAGAGGAAGGCGGAAUUCCUGGUGUAGCGGUGAAAUGCGUAGAUAUCAGGAAGAACACCGGUGGCGAAGGCGGCCUUCUGGUUCGAUACUGACGCUAAAGCGCGAAAGUGUGGGGAGCAAACAGG